UACGGGGGGAGCAAGCGUUGUUCGGAUCUACUGGGCGUAAAGGGCGCGUAGGCGGCCACUGCAAGUCGGUUGUGAAAUCUCCGGGCUUAACCCGGAAAGGUCAAUCGAUACUGCAGGGCUAGAGUGCAGAAGGGGCAACUGGAAUUCUCGGUGUAGCGGUGAAAUGCGUAGAUAUCGAGAGGAACACCUGCGGCGAAGGCGGGUUGCUGGGCUGACACUGACGCUGAAGCGCGAAAGCUAGGGGAGCGAACGGG
rnacentral:rRNA from 1 species